rnacentral:sRNA from 1 species
AUCUGAGUCAAAAAGUAAAUUCCUCUGUUUAUCUACAUAGCAGGUACAGUGAGGGAGCCUUGCAAGCCUACCCACAUUGCCCUGCCAGUGUGCCUCAUCUCUGAUCUGGUGAGAUCAUGUCUAGAGGGUAGUAGACCUUUCUCUGUGCCCAUGAAAUCCUUUGUGCAUCU